rnacentral:lncRNA from 1 species
UUUAUUAUUUGCGAUUUUAUCAUAAAAAAACAUACAUAAAAAAAAUACAAAUAACACAUUCACUUUCACUAUAUUUUUUCUUUUUUCUUUUUUUCUGUUUUUUGCCCUUCUAAUUUUAUAAUUCUAAAACAUACAUAAAAAAAUUACAAACACACACACAUCCCUUUUCAUUAUGUUUUUCUUCCACUCCCACAUUUACAUAUUACAAAUCACUAAAAUUCAAAAUAAAUCAAAACAACACAUUAAACAAUUCAAAAAUUACAAAAUAUGACCCCCAAAAAAAUCUAUAACAGUGUUGGGAAGCCUCUUGGGACUGCAUGCAGUACUGAUGAAGGUUUCUUGACACUUGAACAAUAGCAGCACGUCUUUUCCACACGCCAUCACCACUGGCAACGCGUGGAUUCACGCGUCGCUGCUAGAGAACUCGGGCAAGCAGGGGUCGGUCACAACUUCCUCCCCUCUUCCCAUCCUCACCGGUGUAAGAAUCACUGUCACCUAUAAAAGGAGAAAAACACACAAGCCAGUUGAUUUUAAUUUCUUUCUCCUUUUUCACGAAUCCAUUUCUUUUUUCUUCUCCUUCUUCAGAUCUGCUUUUGUUCUUUUUGUUUACCCUUCUCUGUUUCAGGUGGUGGGGCGGUGGCGUUGAUGAUCUUCUCUCCUGUUGGUAGCAGCGGCGGUUGGGCUUGUUGUUGUCGUCCAUGAGGCUUGUGGAUCUCUGGUGAGGACGGCGCUGCUGCAGCUAACGGUGAAGGAGAUCAAUAGAGGCUCGCCCGAGAGAGGGAUGUCGCUGCUAGAGGCAGUGAGUUAGGUCUGCUGCCGAUCAGUUGAAGGAGAUGACCAGUCUUGGCUGAUCUAUGGCUGUUGCUGUUAAGGAGACUGAAGGCAAAGAAGACACUGCUGAGGGGAAGGCUUUGGUGUUGAUGGAGAUGAAGAGAUCGGGGAAGAUCGGUCUGGGUUCUGUAUGAGGAAGGAGAUGGCUGGAGUCAAGGGUGAGAUGCUCCUUUGGUUUUCUCUGGUCUUGGUCGGGAAAGGGAGAGUAAGGGUUCUGUCAAAAGAAAAGGGAAAAUCCAUGGAAAUUGGGGGAAGAAAGUCGAUGGGUCAGCUAAGAGAGGGGAGGUUUGGUAAGGUAAGGGAGCAGCCGGUUCUGGUUUGUGUUUGGAUGAGGGGGGUGAGUGGCGGCUGCUUCACGUGAGGGAGAAGAAAGAGUUAAGCUUUUUAGGAUUUCCUUUUUGUGUUGGCUCCCUCAAAUGUUCAAAAUUGCCCCUCCUUGUGUGAGUUGUGAAAACUCCUAUUUAGGUAAAAAAAUGUUGCUAGAUCCCAAACUUGGGUCUCUCAACUUUCUUUUUUUUGUAAAUUUUGAUUUUUCUUGUUUUUUCUUGUAUUUUUUUUUAAAACAACCAAUAUCAACGUCGACUCAAUGAGGAAAAUCAAUCAUUUUAAAAAUGACGCGUGAAAAGUCGAACGCGUUCAAAAGACUUUUGAAAAAUUAAAAUCUUUUGAGAUGAUGCUAAAAACGAUACAAAUAUAUUAAAAACAUAUUUUUUUUUUUCAUUGUUUUUCACUAUUUUUGGAUUUUUUGAAAAUUUUAUGAAAUAGAUGGGUC